UUUGCAGCACAGUCAUCCCUGACCCAUCAUGGCACGAGUAUCUCCGUGUAUGGUGAAGGGUUAAAGUGAAAGGUGUCUCCUAAUCAGAUUCUUGAAGUCAUCUUUAGAAAGAUGAAAACUGUGCAGAGAAAUUGUUGUGGCCUCUUCAGCUUUCCCACUCCUUGGACGGCACCAUGUUUUUCAUAAGACCAAGGAGAAAGCAUGAUUUGCGGCCUUGAUUAGAGCAGGAGCUGAACAAGAUAUUACAAGGAUUUGAUUCUCUUCGAACGUGUCCAUUACACUCAUUCAACUGGAAAAUCGUUAGAAAAAAAUCUUCUAGAUCCAACACUGCUGUGAUCAGGACAGAAGCAAGUUUAAUUUGACUGCAUGGACACUUUCAAGUGAGCUUAACAGAGGAGGAUUUACUAAGGCUCCAGAUGAACUCAGGGAAAUCCAGAUUCAGAUCACUGCAAAGCCCUCCAACAGG